rnacentral:rRNA from 1 species
AUUGAACGCUGGCGGCAGGCCUAACACAUGCAAGUCGAGCGGAUGAAGGGAGCUUGCUCCUGGAUUCAGCGGCGGACGGGUGAGUAAUGCCUAGGAAUCUGCCUGGUAGUGGGGGAUAACGUCCGGAAACGGGCGCUAAUACCGCAUACGUCCUGAGGGAGAAAGUGGGGGAUCUUCGGACCUCACGCUAUCAGAUGAGCCUAGGUCGGAUUAGCUAGGUGGUGGGGUAAAGGCCUACCAAGGCGACGAUCCGUAACUGGUCUGAGAGGAUGAUCAGUCACACGGGAAGUGAGACAGGGUCCAGACUCCUACGGGAGGCAGCAGUGGGGAAUAUUGGACGAUGGGCGAAAGCCUGAUCCAGCAAUGCCGCGUGUGUGAAGAAGGUCUUCGGAUUGGAAAGCACUUUAAGUUGGGAGGAAGGGAAGUAAGUUAAUACCUUGCUGUUUUGACGUUACCAACAGAAUAAGCACCGGCUAACUUCGUG